rnacentral:other from 1 species
UGAUUCCUGCGGUGUGCGUGUAACGAGAUAUGUCUUGAGCCAACGUUUUUACCCCGCGCAGGGUUGCUCCGGACCGGCAGAAGCGGCAUGGGCUGCGCAAGCCAAGGCCCGGGAACCCUCAACUCCUUGAGGAGCGGGUCAAGACAGUUCGUUCACGGCAUUGCGGGAUUUUU